AUGACUGCUCUUUGUCAAAACAAACCUCAGAUCAGUAUCAGAUGGAUAGCAUGUAUAAGUUAGACGCUGAGUACUUUGAUGUUGACAUUGAAGGAGAAAACAAAUUACACCUGGCAGGUGGAGGUAUUCGGAAUUCAUUCAAUGCCAAUGAGAUGAUAUAUGGGUGGUCGUUGGGAUCAGGAAUCCCGAAGUGGGUCCACAACAAAAGUAAUGGCUCCUCUUUAAAGAUGGAGUUGGAUGGUAAUAUGAAGGGAAUUGGGUGUGCUAUCUUUAUUGUUUGUGAUUAUCAUCAAUUCCAUUCCCCAGGAGGGGAUUCAACAUCUUCGUUAUUCAAGGAAUCUUUUUUCUAUUCUUCACGUAUCGAGUUUACAUUUUGUUUUGAGACGGAUGAAGGUUAUGUAGGACAUUUUUACUACUCCCUUGUGUUUCCUUCCAGCCUGGACGUCUCUUUCGUUGAGCCAAUUGGAUUUUGGGCGUAUAUACCGGCUCUUAGGUUUUUGGAACGCUCCAGAUCGAAUAAUUUGGAUCAACUGAGCUUCAUUAAGAUAUUAAUUACAGCAAGAAUGCAUAGCUUCCACUCUCGUACUCCUAUGGAAGUGAAAGAAUGCGGUGUGCAUUUAGUAUGUCCAGAUGAUGCUAAUUCAAAGUUCUACAAUAGCAUUGCUCCUUUUGGUCGUUCGGAAUCUUCAAAUUCAGAUUUCCAUCGACAAUUUUAUUUUACUUUGUACCAGAAACCUCCCGAUUUUAGUGACGAGCUUGAAGUGUUCAUAACAUCCCAGAUUGAUUAAGGGAAUGCAGCCGAUCGACCACCCGAGAUUUUCUUCUUUAUCACGUUUCUGUGAUCAGGGAACCUUCGGUUGCAUGUAUCCAUGGGAGAAUACUUGACAUGGAAGUCCUGCAUGAUGAGAAAAGAAGAUUAGAUUCAGAUGGAGUCGGUUAAAGUUGAGUCCUUUUGAGCAUUGGCUUGGCAUUGUUUCUUUUGGGAAUAGAAGAUCAUCUUGACCAUUUUGUUUACAAGUUAGGAGGUGGGUCUAGCUCAUGUAGUGUCGGCUUUCCAAUUGGUUUGUUGCCUCAUUUAAGCACCACGACUUAUCAAUUCAAGGGAGCCCGAGAAUAUUAUUAUUAUUACGAAAAUAUUAUUAUCAUUUAAGUACCAUACUUAUCAAUUCAGAGUCUCUAAAUUUGAUUGUAAUCAAUUAAUUCUAUAGUGAAUUUUAAGGUGGUGACUAAGUA